rnacentral:rRNA from 1 species
UACAGAGGUGGCAAGCGUUGUUCGGAAUUACUGGGCGUAAAGGGCGCGUAGGCGGUCUUUUAAGUCUUGUGUGAAAUCCCUCGGCUCAACUGAGGAACUGCACGGGAUACUGGAAGACUUGAGUUCGGGAGAGGGAAGCGGAAUUCCGGGUGUAGCGGUGAAAUGCGUAGAUAUCCGGAGGAACACCGGUGGCGAAGGCGGGUCUCUGGACAGUUCCUGACGCUGAGGCACGAAGGUCAGGGGAGCAAACGGG